AGGAUGUAAUAACCCAUAUUUUUGGGUUAUUGAUUUAAAUUAAGAUAAGUAAUUAAAUUUGUAUUAUCUGCUAAGUUAUGCUAAAUUCUCGAUUCAAAGAAUUAAGAUAGAGCUGUAAAUUUUUUUACAUGCAUUAAAUAUUAGAAAAUUACACACUAAGUAAGAGUAGGUGCAUGUGCGCAUAGACUUGCAUUCAUGCACUCACGUUGUGAUAUAGGCAUGGGAAAUACUACUAGCUAGUUGGCCAUAUAAGCUAGACAAUUACAAGAGAGUUAACGUGGCAUUUGAAUAGAUGAAAUUAGACCAGGUACAAAUGAUACCCCGGUAGAUAUUUCCUAGUACUAGAGCUCCAAGUCAAAUAGGUGCAUGUAUGUAAUCAUGAGGAAGAGGCAACGUGGCUUGGUUCUAGAGGAUAUGCAUGCAUGUGUCAGGUGUUUUGAAAACUCUAGUGAAUCAACUACACGUACAGGAGAGGAAUGGAAGCAAACGUGGGUAGAUGCAUGCAUCGGCUGCAUCGCUAGAAACCCAAGUUUCCUACGUGGGCUGCAACAUGGCCAAGUACUAGAGGAACAUAGAAAUAGAAAAUAGAAGUCAGCUUUUACGUGUCCUAUACGUGGCCAUUUCUUAGUGCUUAAGUAAGAGCCAGGCCAAGAUAUUUUAGACUUGCACGGGCGCUCGCCUCCUAUAAAUAGCUGUGAGUCACGCUGCUCAAAGCACAACUCUGAGAGAAAGACAGAAACACUGGAGGAGAGAGCCUGAGAGAAAGAAAGACACCAGAAAGAUAAAGAAGAGAGAUGAAGAAUUCAUGCAUGCAUCCACAUUUGAAGAAGAAUAGAGCGUUUAGGUGCUGCUGGAGGGAAGAGCCAAGCCAUACAUCAGAAGAAAUAUGAGUAUAUGUGUGUUCGUCAGAUUUCAUACAAAGAUGAUGGAGUUUCAUCUUCCUGCAGAAUAUUAUUCUAAAGGAGAAAUCAUAUUAUCUAAGGCAAGUAGCUGCUUUGCUAAACUCCCUGAUCUCUCCUUAUUGUUGUCUUGCUUGAUUAUCUGGUAAUAUCAUUGCACCUUGAUCCUUAUUGAUCCUCUCUUGAUCCUUGAGAGAGGGAUGUGUUGUUCUCGUAUUCCAUUUGUUGAUGGAAUCAGAGUAUUUUGGAGGAACUCGUGAGAAGUCAUACGCGUAUUGUCUUUGACUGAUAUUACAGUGAUUCUACCGUUGAUUCAAACACAUAUCCUAUUUUGUAUUGGUGUCACGACAGCAAACAUAUUGUAUCGGUCACAGUUCAGGUAUGGGACUGUCUGAGUUCUCCGCUAAGGACGGACCUUGUUCGGGGCGUGACAAAUUGUCACGCCCCAAGUGAGUCUUAGCCGUGACAAUCGCCACAUGCUUAUAAAUCUCAAAUUUAUAAGCAUGUUAGGCUAGUAAACAAAUUAUUUUCCAGUAUGCACAAGAGCCAACUUUAUUCAUUACUAGCUAUUACAAAGGUUAUGAUACAUGCAACUUCUUUAUUUACUCCCAACCCGUAGAUCUACUCCUACUGUUCAUCAUUCUCAUCAGCACAUCCAUCAUUUGCUACUUCUGCAAAAUCAACAACAAUAGCAAGAAUGAGUAUGAUCUCAUACUCAGCAAGCACACGGGUACACAGGAACUUCUCUCAGCAAAUAGUGACAGAACACAGGGGUUAGUUGUAAAGAAAGAGUUUGUUGGCAGAGGAAGAUAAUGGAGAUUAAUUUAAAGAAAAGGAAAGAAAUAACAGACAUCACACAUGACCGCAAGCUUCCCACCCCGGGAGUCACAGGGGUGAAAUUUCACACUUUUACGCUCUUAAGAGGGGUACUCCGACGUCAGCAGCCUCGACUAGAACCACACAGGCGCUAGUAGAGCAGAGCUCUCUAUUCCCCCAAGAACCGCCCACUCGACUUACUAGUGUCGAUCGCUCCUACGGAUCCAUCACCGACACGUUCCUGAACAAGGUCCGUCCUUAGUGGAGAACUCAGACAGUCCCAUACCUGAACUAUGACCGGUACAAUACGUUUGCCGUCGUGAUACCAGAUUUUAUAAAAUUUACUAGACAAGGAUUAGCAAGAGGAAGUACAUGCAAGACCAAAAUAAAUAUCACUAGGCUUUUCACAGAACCAACCAUCCAUGCAUGAGUCAUUAAUCCAUGUGCUCACAUGCAUGUACCAAGGAUUUCUCCACCCUGAUCAUAAACCAAAAGGUAGUACUGUGGUAUGCAUGCUAGCUUCAAGAGAUGUACAGGAAUCAAAUGAACAGUGCACAUUAUAGAGCUUCAGGAGUACUACUAGCUAUAGAGCAUGGCAUGAAUAGCGAGACAAACAAGGAAUAGGACAGCUAGAAAGGCUAGAUGGAACGCAUGCUUGCCUGACUCGCUGCUUCCUCUAAGCGCUCUUGCCGAUCAGUGUGAUUCUACUCCAUGCAAUGCUAGUUAGUGAACUGGUUUGUAUGUUGGGAUGAAUACUACAGCGUGCUCUUGCUCCUCUAUUUAUAGGCAUGGUAGGGUAGGAAAUGGAGCUGGAUAAGUAUAACUCAGCAGCCUCGAAUUGGCUUUUUAGGUUGAUAUCAGAGCUCCCUGAUCUCUCCUUGUUCUAUGCGGGAAUACCCAUUUAAUUUUUUGCAUUAAUUAGUCACAAAUAUACUCAUGAAUAGUUUCAACAGAUAUCCAUGCAAAUAAAUAAUAUAGCGUACAUAUUAUUGGUGAAAUUUGAGGAUGAAUGGGAAAUAAAUAGACAUCUUGUUAGAUUAAUACAUGACUUAAUAUUUGUGUAGAUUUUCUUGUUUAAGACAACUGGUGAUAUUGUUCCAGUAAUGGGACAAUUGCUAUACCACUAUCUAUCCUUUUUGUUAAUGAAUUUACCAAAUAAAAUGUUUAGUGUUGCCAACUUAUGUUAUAGCAGAUAUAUCCAUGAAUUGUAGAAAGAUUGCAAAUCCUUUUUUGCAUUAUUUUUAAUUAAUUAUUGAGCAUGCAUCAAAUAAACUGUUCCAAAUAUGAUGGGAGGGAAUUUGAUCACUAAAAAAAAGCAUAGAUGUUAGUGUUGAAUUUCGGGGACGAAAUUCUUAUAAGGUGGGGAGGAUGUAAUAACCCAUAUUUUUGGGUUAUUGAUUUAAAUUAAGAUAAGUAAUUAAAUUUGUAUUAUCUACUAAGUUAUGCUAAAUUCUUGAUUCAAAGAAUUAAGAUAGAGCUGUAAAUUUUUUUACAUGCAUUAAAUAUUAGAAAAUUACACACUAAGUAAGAGUAGGUGCAUGUGCGCAUAGACUUGCAUUCAUGCUCACGUUGUGAUAUAGGCAUGGGAAAUACUACUAGCUAGUUGGCCAUAUAAGCUAGACAAUUACAAGAGAGUUAACGUUGCAUUUGAAUAGAUGAAAUUAGACCAGGUACAAAUGAUACACCGGUAGAUAUUUUCUAGUACUAGAGCUCCAAGUCAAAUAGGUGCAUGUAUGUAAUCAUGAGGAAGAGGCAACGUGGCUUGGUUCUAGAGGAUAUGCAUGCAUGUGUCAGGUGUUUUGAAAACUCUAGUGAAUCAACUACACGUAUAGAAGAGGAAUGGAAGCAAACGUGGGUAGAUGCAUGCAUCGGCUGUAUCUCUAGAAACCCAAGUUUCCUACAUGGGCUGCAACAUGGCCAAGUACUAGAGGAACAUAGAAAUAGAAAAUAGAAGUCAGCUUUUACGUGUCCUAUACGUGGCCAUUUCUUAGUGCUUAAGUGAGAGUCAGGCCAAGAUAUUUUAGACUUGCACGGGCGCUCGCCUCCUAUAAAUAGCUGUGGGUCACGCUGCUCAAAGCACAGCUCUGAGAGAAAGACAUAGACACUGGAGGAGAGAGCCUGAGAAAAAGAAAUACACCAGAAAGAUAAAGAAGAGAGAUGAAGAAUUCAUGCAUGCAUCCACAUUUGAAGAAGAAUAGAGCGUUUAGGUGCUGCUGGAGGGAAGAGCCGAGCCAUACAUCAGAAGAAAUGUGAGUAUAUGUGUGUUCGGCACAUUUUAUACAAAGAUGAUGGAGUUUCAUCUUCUUGCAAAAUAUUAUUCUAAAGGAGAAAUCAUAUUAUCUGAGGCAAGUAGCUGCUUUGCCUAACUCCCCGAUCUCGCUUUAUUGUUGUCUUCUUUGAUUAUCGGUUAAUAUUGUUGCACCUUGAUCCUUAUUGAUCCUCUCUUGAUCCUUAAGAGAGGGAUGUGUUGUCCUCGUAUUCCAUUUGUUGAUGGAAUCAUAGUAUUUUGGAGGAACUCGUGAGAAGUCAUACACGUAUUGUCUUUGACUGAUAUUACAGUGAUUCUACCGUUGAUUCAAACACAUAUCCUAUUUUGUAUUGGUGUCAUGACGGCAAACAUAUUGUACCGGUCACAGUUCAGGUAUGGGACUGUCUGAGUUCUCCGCUAAGGACGGACCUUGUUCGGGAACGUGUCGGUGAUGGAUCCGUAAGAGCGAUCGACAUCAGUAGGUCCAGGUGUUCGGGUCUUAGUGGGUACAAGAGCUCUGCUCUUCUGGAACCUGUGUGGUUCUAGUCGAGACUGUCGACGUCGGAGUACGCCUCUUAAGAGCGUAAAAGUGUGAAAUUUCACCCCUGUGACUCCCGGGUUGGGAAGCUUGCGGUCAUGUGUGAUGCCAAUAAUUUCCUUGUUCAUUUCGUCUGUUGAUCUACACCAUCAUACCAUCGCUCCUUGUUGAAUAGUGAAGUAUCUGCUUGCUGAGUAUGAUUUGUCGUACUCACCCUUGCUUCCUCUGUUUUUUUAGAUGCGAACGAGGUAACUUAAGUAUGUUCAGAAGAUGUCUUCAUCCAAGACUAGGCUUGACCAGCGGGUGGGAAGCGACUAGAGAAUAUGACGUCUUUACUCAACUAUUUGUAGAUGUCAAGGAAUUUGUAUAGUAAAUAUAUUAGCUUUUGUGAUCCACUUCUGGUUUAUGCCUGCUUUAUCAUGCCUUGUGUGACUAUAGGCCUCUGGUCUAUAGGCGCGCGGCGGCUGUCUCGCCUAGGCCCGGUCUCGGGGCGUGACUUGCUUCCUCCGUUUUUUUAGAUGCGAACGAGGUAACUUAAGUAUGUUCAACUUAAGUAUGUUCAGAAGAUGUCUUCAUCCAAGACUAGGCUUGACCAGCGGGUGGGAAGCGACUAGAGAAUAUGAUGUCUUUACUCAACUAUUUNNNNNNNNNNCGUACUCACCCUUGCUUCCUCUGUUUUUUUAGAUGCGAACGAGGUAACUUAAGUAUGUUCAACUUAAGUAUGUUCAGAAGAUGUCUUCAUCCAAGACUAGGCUUGACCAGCGGGUGGGAAGCGACUAGAGAAUAUGAUGUCUUUACUCAACUAUUUGUAGAUGUCAAGGAAUUUGUAUAGUAAAUAUAUUAGCUUUUGUGAUCCACUUCUGGUUUAUGCCUGCUUUAUCAUGCCUUGCGUGACUAUAGUCCUCCUGGUCUAUAGGAGCGCGGCGGCUGUCUCGCCUAGGCCCGGUCUCGGGGCGUGACAGUUAAGGCGUGAUUAAUUAAGCAUUAACCAUCAGUGGAUCACAAAAGCUCAUAUAUAUUGACUACAGAAAUUUCUUUACAUGUACAAAUAGACAAAAUACAUUAAAAUCUCUAGUCGUUUCCCACCCACUCGUCGAGCCUAUUCUUGGAUGACAUCUUCUGGGCAUACUUAAGUUACACCGACUGCAUCUAAGAAAUAGAGGAGACAAGGGUGAGUACGAUAAAUCAUACUCAGCAAGCAAAUACUUCACUAUUCAAUAAGGAGCAAUGGUAUGAUGGUGUAGAUCAACAGACGAACUGAAUUCAGAGGAUAACAAUAUAACAACCAUUGGAAUCAUAUUUUGAUGUAAAUGGACAAAAGAACAAAAUACCAGAUUUAGUAAAAACAACAAGGAAUCUAUUGGCAUCACACAUGACCGCAAGCUUCCCAACCCGGGAGUCACAGGGGUGAAAUUUCACACUUUUACGCUCUUAAGAGUGGUACUCCGACGUCGACAGCCUCGACUAGAACCACACAGGCGCUAGUAGAGCAGAGCUCUCUAUUUCCCCAAGAACCGCCCACUCGACUUACUAGUGUCGAUCGCUCCUACGGAUCCAUCACCGACACGUUCCUGAACAAGGUCCGUCCUUAGCGGAGAACUCAGACAGUCCCAUACCUGAACUGUGACCGGUACAAUACGUUUGCCGUCGUGAUACCAGAUUUUAUAAAAUUUACUAGACAAGGAUUAGCAAGAGGAAGUACAUGCAAGACCAAAGUAAAUAUCACUAGGCUUUUCACAGAACCAACCAUCCAUGCAUGAGCCAUUAAUCCAUGUGCUCACAUGCAUGUACCAAGGAUUUCUCCACCGUGAUCAUAAACCAAAAGGUAGUACUAUGGUAUGCAUGCUAGCUUCAAGAGAUGUAUAGGAAUCAAAUGAACAGUGCACACUAUAGAGCUUCAGGAGUACUACUAGCUAUAGAGCAUGGCAUGAACAGCGAGACAAACAAGGAAUAGGACAACUAGAAACGCUAGAUGGAAUGCAUGCUUGCCUGACUCGCCGCUUCCUCUGAGGACUCUUGCCGAUCAGUGUGAUUCUACUCCAUGCAAUGCUAGUUAGUGAACUGGUUUGUAUGUUGGGAUGAAUACUACAGCGUGCUCUUGCUCCUCUAUUUAUAGGCAUGGUAGGGUAGGAAAUGGAGCUGGAUAAGUAUAACUCAGCAACCUCGAAUUGGCUUUUUAGGUUGAUAUCAGAGCUCCCUGAUCUCUCCUUGUUCUAUGCGGGAAUACCCGUUUAAUUUUUUGCAUUAAUUAGUCACAAAUAUACUCAUGAAUAGUUUCAACAGAUAUCCAUGCAAAUAAAUAAUAUAGCGUACAUAUUAUUGGUGAAAUUUGAGGAUGAAUGGGAAAUAAAUAGACAUCUUGUUAGAUUAAUACAUGACUUAAUAUUUGUGUAGAUUUUCUUGUUUAAGACAACCGGUGAUAUUGUUCUAGUAAUGGGACAAUUGCUAUACCACUAUCUAUCCUUUUUGUUAAUGAAUUUACCAAAUAAAAUGUUUAGUGUUGCCAACUUAUGUUAUAGCAGAUAUAUCCAUGAAUUGUAGAAAGAUUGCAAAUCCUUUUAUGCAUUAUUUUUAAUUAAUUAUUGAGCAUGCAUCAAAUAAACUGUUCCAAAUAUGAUGGGAGGGAAUUUGAUCACUAAAAAAAAGCAUAGAUGUUAGUGUUGAAUUUCGGGGACGAAAUUCUUAUAAGGUGGGAAGGAUGUAAUAACCCAUAUUUUUGGGUUAUUGAUUUAAAUUAAGAUAAGUAAUUAAAUUUGUAUUAUCUACUAAGUUAUGCUAAAUUCUUGAUUCAAAGAAUUAAGAUAGAGCUGUAAAUUUUUUUACAUGCAUUAAAUAUUAGAAAAUUACACACUAAGUAAGAGUAGGUGCAUGUGCGCAUAGACUUGCAUUCAUGCUCACGUUGUGAUAUAGGCAUGGGAAAUACUACUAGCUAGUUGGCCAUAUAAGCUAGACAAUUACAAGAGAGUUAACGUUGCAUUUGAAUAGAUGAAAUUAGACCAGGUACAAAUGAUACACCGGUAGAUAUUUUCUAGUACUAGAGCUCCAAGUCAAAUAGGUGCAUGUAUGUAAUCAUGAGGAAGAGGCAACGUGGCUUGGUUCUAGAGGAUAUGCAUGCAUGUGUCAGGUGUUUUGAAAACUCUAGUGAAUCAACUACACGUAUAGAAGAGGAAUGGAAGCAAACGUGGGUAGAUGCAUGCAUCGGCUGUAUCUCUAGAAACCCAAGUUUCCUACAUGGGCUGCAACAUGGCCAAGUACUAGAGGAACAUAGAAAUAGAAAAUAGAAGUCAGCUUUUACGUGUCCUAUACGUGGCCAUUUCUUAGUGCUUAAGUGAGAGUCAGGCCAAGAUAUUUUAGACUUGCACGGGCGCUCGCCUCCUAUAAAUAGGAGUGGGUCACGCUGCUCAAAGCACAGCUCUGAGAGAAAGACAUAGACACUGGAGGAGAGAGCCUGAGAGAAAGAAAUACACCAGAAAGAUAAAGAAGAGAGAUGAAGAAUUCAUGCAUGCAUCCACAUUUGAAGAAGAAUAGAGCGUUUAGGUGCUGCUGGAGGGAAGAGCCGAGCCAUACAUCAGAAGAAAUGUGAGUAUAUGUGUGUUCGGCACAUUUUAUACAAAGAUGAUGGAGUUUCAUCUUCUUGCAAAAUAUUAUUCUAAAGGAGAAAUCAUAUUAUCUGAGGCAAGUAGCUGCUUUGCCUAACUCCCCGAUCUCGCUUUAUUGUUGUCUUCUUUGAUUAUCGGUUAAUAUUGUUGCACCUUGAUCCUUAUUGAUCCUCUCUUGAUCCUUAAGAGAGGGAUGUGUUGUCCUCGUAUUCCAUUUGUUGAUGGAAUCAUAGUAUUUUGGAGGAACUCGUGAGAAGUCAUACACGUAUUGUCUUUGACUGAUAUUACAGUGAUUCUACCGUUGAUUCAAACACAUAUCCUAUUUUGUAUUGGUGUCAUGACGGCAAACAUAUUGUACCGGUCACAGUUCAGGUAUGGGACUGUCUGAGUUCUCCGCUAAGGACGGACCUUGUUCGGGAACGUGUCGGUGAUGGAUCCGUAGGAGCGAUCGACAUCAGUAGGUCCAGGUGUUCGGGUCUUAGUGGGUACAAGAGCUCUGCUCUUCUGGAACCUGUGUGGUUCUAGUCGAGACUGUCGACGUCGGAGUACGCCUCUUAAGAGCGUAAAAGUGUGAAAUUUCACCCCUGUGACUCCCGGGUUGGGAAGCUUGCGGUCAUGUGUGAUGCCAAUAAUUUCCUUGUUCAUUUCGUCUGUUGAUCUACACCAUCAUACCAUCGCUCCUUGUUGAAUAGUGAAGUAUCUGCUUGCUGAGUAUGAUUUGUCGUACUCACCCUUGCUUCCUCUGUUUUUUUAGAUGCGAACGAGGUAACUUAAGUAUGUUCAGAAGAUGUCUUCAUCCAAGACUAGGCUUGACCAGCGGGUGGGAAGCGACUAGAGAAUAUGACGUCUUUACUCAACUAUUUGUAGAUGUCAAGGAAUUUGUAUAGUAAAUAUAUUAGCUUUUGUGAUCCACUUCUGGUUUAUGCCUGCUUUAUCAUGCCUUGUGUGACUAUAGGCCUCUGGUCUAUAGGCGCGCGGCGGCUGUCUCGCCUAGGCCCGGUCUCGGGGCGUGACUUGCUUCCUCCGUUUUUUUAGAUGCGAACGAGGUAACUUAAGUAUGUUCAACUUAAGUAUGUUCAGAAGAUGUCUUCAUCCAAGACUAGGCUUGACCAGCGGGUGGGAAGCGACUAGAGAAUAUGAUGUCUUUACUCAACUAUUUGUAGAUGUCAAGGAAUUUGUAUAGUAAAUAUAUUAGCUUUUGUGAUCCACUUCUGGUUUAUGCCUUCUUUAUCAUGCCUUGCGUGACUAUAGUCCUCCUUGUCUAUAG
rnacentral:lncRNA from 1 species